rnacentral:rRNA from 1 species
GACGAACGCUGGCGGCGUGCUUAACACAUGCAAGUCACGGGGGUUGGAGCAAUCCAGCAACCGGCGAACGGGUGCGUAACACGUAAGCGACCUACCCUGGAGCGGGGGAUAGCCGGCCCAACGGCCGGGUAAUACCGCAUACGACGGUUUGGGGCAUUCCCGGACUGUGAAACCUACGGGGCUCGAGGAGGGGCUUGCAGCCUAUCAGCUAGUUGGCGGGGUAACGGCCCACCAAGGCGAUGACGGGUAGCUGGUCUGAGAGGAUGGCCAGCCACAUUGGGACUGAGAGACGGCCCAGACUCCUACGGGAGGCAGCAGUGGGGAAUCUUGCGCAAUGGCCGGAAGGCUGACGCAGCGACGCCGCGUGGAGGAUGACGCCCUUCGGGUGGU